rnacentral:sRNA from 1 species
GCCAGGUGUGGUGGUGCACCCUUGUAAUCCCAGAGGCUCUGGAGGCUGAGGCAGGAGGUUCUCAAGUUCAAGACCAGCCUCAGCAACUAAGUGAGGUGCUAAGCAACUCAUUGAGACCCUGUCUCUA